UAUCACUUUUGUCCUACUUUCACCAUAGCGGCCAAGUUGAUAUGGGUUGGGAAUUUUCUAGACAUCGAUAUCUUCAAACGUUAUUUUAUGCUAAAUUACGAUAAAUCGGCAUCUUGUAUAUUUAUGCUAUUUGUACAACAUCGGUACUAUUGUUCUUUAUAAUCGUCUUCAUUGUCAGUUUACACAUUGAAUUAUAUAAUAUAUGUAAUUGGAUUUUUUUGUGGCUUAAAAGAUAACGACGGUUUUAGUUUGAAAUCUGACGUUUCCGAGAACAGUUGCAGGUAAGAAUAAAUGUUAGAAUAUAU
rnacentral:lncRNA from 1 species